AGUGAACGCUGGCGGCAGGCCUAACACAUGCAAGUCGAACGGCAGCACAGUAAGAGCGUGCCCUUACGGGUGGCGAGUGGCGGACGGGUGAGGAAUACAUCGGAAUCUACUUUUUCGUGGGGGAUAACGGAGGGCAACUUACGCUAAUACCGCAUACGACCAACGGGUGAAAGCAGGGGAGCUUCGGACCUUGCGCGAUUGAAUGAGCCGAUGCCGGAUUAGCUAGUUGGCGGGGUAACGGACCACCAAGGCGACGAUCUGUAGCUGGUCUGACAGGAUGAUCAGCCACACUGGAACUGAGACACGGUCCCGACUCCUACGGGAGGCAGCAGUGGGGAAUCUUCCGCAAUGGGCGCAAGCCUGAUCCAGCAAUACCGCGUGAGUGAUGAAGGCCUUCGGGUUGUAAAGCCCUUUUGUUGGGAAAGAAAAACAGCAGGUUAAUCCACCGCUGUUCUGACGGUACCCAAAGAAUAAGCCCCGGCUAACUUCGUG
rnacentral:rRNA from 1 species